rnacentral:rRNA from 1 species
UACGUAGGGGGCAAGCGUUGUCCGGAAUUAUUGGGCGUAAAGCGCGUGUAGGCGGCUCGGUAAGUCUGCUGUGAAAGUCCAAGGCUCAACCUUGGAAAGUCGGUGGAUACUGUCGAGCUCGAGUCCGGAAGAGGCGAGUGGAAUUCCUAGUGUAGAGGUGAAAUUCGUAGAUAUUAGGAAGAACACCAGUGGCGAAGGCGGCUCACUGGCCCGGUACUGACGCUGAGGCGCGAAAGCGUGGGGAGCAAACAGG